UCGCUUUAGCAGCACAUUUACUAAAAUUGGAACUAUAUAGAGAACCAUAGGCCCUGCUCCAGGAUAAAACAUGAAUUCACAAAAUGUUUCACAUUUUG
ensembl:snRNA U6 U6 spliceosomal RNA